rnacentral:rRNA from 1 species
GAUGAACGCUGGCGGCGUGCUUAACACAUGCAAGUCGAACGGAAAGGCCCAAGCUUGCUUGGGUGCUCGAGUGGCGAACGGGUGAGUAACACGUGGGUGAUCUGCCCUGCACUUUGGGAUAAGCCUGGGAAACUGGGUCUAAUACCGGAUAGGACCAUCGUUUAGUGUGGGUGGUGGAAAGUUUUUGGGUGUGGGUUGAGCUCGCGGCCUAUCGGCUUGUUGGGGGGGUAAUGGCUAACCAAGGCGUCGACGGGUAGCCGGCCUGUGAGAGUGUCCGUCAACAUUGGGACUGAGGGACGGCCCAGGCUCCUACGGGAGGCAGCAGGGGGGAAGAUUGAACAAUGGGCGCAAGCCUGGUGCAGCGACGCCGCGUGGUGGAUGACGGCCUUCGGGUUGUAAACGCCUUUCGCCAAGGACGAAGCGUUUUGUGACGGUACUUGGAGAAGAAGCACCGGCUAACUACGUG